UAGGGAAUCUUCGGCAAUGGGGGGAACCCUGACCGAGCAACGCCGCGUGAGUGAAGAAGGUUUUCGGAUCGUAAAGCUCUGUUGUUAAGGAAGAACGAGUGUGAGAAUGGAAAGUUCAUGCUGUGACGGUACUUAACCAGAAAGGGACGGCUAACUACGUGCCAGCAGCCGCGGUAAUACGUAGGUCCCGAGCGUUGUCCGGAUUUAUUGGGCGUAAAGCGAGCGCAGGCGGUUAGAAAAGUCUGAAGUGAAAGGCAGUGGCUCAACCAUUGUAGGCUUUGGAAACUGGUUAACUUGAGUGCAGAAGGGGAGAGUGGAAUUCCAUGUGUAGCGGUGAAAGGCGUAGGUAUAUGGAGGAACACCGGUGGCGAAAGCGGCUCUCUGGUCUGUAACGGACGCUGAGGCUCGAAAGCGUGGGGAGCGAACAGG
rnacentral:rRNA from 1 species